CUACAGGGGUAUCUAAUCCUGUUCGCUCCCCCAGCUUUCGCACUUCAGCGUCAGUUGCCGUCCAGUGAACUAUCUUCAUCAUCGGCAUUCCUGCACAUAUCUACGAAUUUCACCUCUACUCGUGCAGUUCCGUCCACCUCUCCAGCACUCUAGCCAGGCAGUUUCCAGGGCAGGCUUGCGGUUGAGCCGCAAGUUUUCACCCCAGACUUGCCUGGCCGCCUAGAUGCCCUUUAUGCCCAAUAAUUCCGGAUAACGCUUGCGACAUACGUAUUACCGCGGCUGCUGGCAC
rnacentral:rRNA from 1 species